UGUUUGAUGUUCUAACGUGGACCCGUGAUCCGGGUUGCGGACAGUGUCUGGUGGGUAGUUUGACUGGGGCGGUCUCCUCCUAAAGAGUAACGGAGGAGCACGAAGGUUGGCUAAUCCUGGUCGGACAUCAGGAGGUUAGUGCAAUGGCAUAAGCCAGCUUGACUGCGAGCGUGACGGCGCGAGCAGGUGCGAAAGCAGGUCAUAGUGAUCCGGUGGUUCUGAAUGGAAGGGCCAUCGCUCAACGGAUAAAAGGUACUCCGGGGAUAACAGGCUGAUACCGCCCAAGAGUUCAUAUCGACGGCGGUGUUUGGCACCUCGAUGUCGGCUCAUCACAUCCUGGGGCUGAAGUAGGUCCCAAGGGUAUGGCUGUUCGCCAUUUAAAGUGGUACGCGAGCUGGGUUUAGAACGUCGUGAGACAGUUCGGUCCCUAUCUGCCGUGGGCGCUGGAGAACUGAGGGGGGCUGCUCCUAGUACGAGAGGACCGGAGUGGACGCAUCACUGGUGUUCGGGUUGUCAUGCCAAUGGCACUGCCCGGUAGCUAAAUGCGGAAGAGAUAAGUGCUGAAAGCAUCUAAGCACGAAACUUGCCCCGAGAUGAGUUCUCCCUGAGACUUUAGGUCUC
rnacentral:rRNA from 1 species